CCUACGGGCGGCUGCAGUGGGGAAUAUUGCACAAUGGGCGCAAGCCUGAUGCAGCCAUGCCGCGUGUGUGAAGAAGGCCUUCGGGUUGUAAAGCACUUUCAGCGGGGAGGAAGGCGGUGAGGUUAAUAACCUCAUCGAUUGACGUUACCCGCAGAAGAAGCACCGGCUAACUCCGUGCCAGCAGCCGCGGUAAUACGGAGGGUGCAAGCGUUAAUCGGAAUUACUGGGCGUAAAGCGCACGCAGGCGGUCUGUCAAGUCGGAUGUGAAAUCCCCGGGCUCAACCUGGGAACUGCAUUCGAAACUGGCAGGCUAGAGUCUUGUAGAGGGGGGUAGAAUUCCAGGUGUAGCGGUGAAAUGCGCAGAGAUCUGGAGGAAUACCGGUGGCGAAGGCGGCCCCCUGGACAAAGACUGACGCUCAGGUGCGAAAGCGUGGGGAGCAAACAGGAUUAGAUACCCCUGUAGUC
rnacentral:rRNA from 1 species